rnacentral:rRNA from 1 species
UACAGAGGUCUCAAGCGUUGUUCGGAUUCAUUGGGCGUAAAGGGUGCGUAGGCGGCGGAGUAAGUUGGGUGUGAAAUCCCGGGGCUCAACCUCGGAAUGGCAUUCAAUACUGCUUCGCUAGAGUACUGGAGAGGAGGCUGGAAUUUACGGUGUAGCAGUGAAAUGCGUAGAUAUCGUAAGGAAGGCCGGUGGCGAAAGCGAGCCUCUGGACAGUUACUGACGCUGAGGCACGAAGGUCAGGGGAGCAAACGGG